rnacentral:rRNA from 1 species
CAAACACAUUAUGCAAUAUCGACUUAGUCGAAUAAAAUUCUGGCUAGAAUUAUGAUAAUGACAUUGUCUAGCCAUGUGUCUUGACCAAAUUACGUGCCAGCAGUCGCGGUAAUACGUAGAAGACUAGUGUUAUUCAUCUUUAAUAGGUUUAAAGGGUACCCAGACGGUAAAUCAAGCCCUAAACGGGACUAAUUUUCUAGAGUUACUUAUGCGGGGGUUUUAAAGUACUAAUGGUGUAGAGAUAAAAUUUUGUAAUACCAUUUUUCGAAAGAAAAGUUAUGGCACUGGUAAAGGCGAAAGCAUCCCCUUAUGUGAUAACUGACGUUGAAGGACGAAGGCUUUGGAUCGCGAAUAGGAUUAGAUACCCUAGUAGUCGAAGCAGAAAAUUAUGAGUGUCAUAGAUUAGAAAUUAAUUUUAUUCUAUAAAUGAAAGUGUAAGCACUCCACCUCAAGAGUAAUUUGGCAACAUUGGAACUGAAAUCAUUAGACCGUUUCUGAA